rnacentral:rRNA from 1 species
GGCUCACCAAGCCGACGAUCAGUAGCCGACCUGAGAGGGUGACCGGCCACAUUGGGACUGAGACACGGCCCAAACUCCUACGGGAGGCAGCAGUGGGGAAUAUUGCACAAUGGGGGAAACCCUGAUGCAGCGACGCCGCGUGAGCGAUGAAGUAUUUCGGUAUGUAAAGCUCUAUCAGCAGGGAAGAAGAAAGUGACGGUACCUGACUAAGAAGCUCCGGCUAAAUAC